rnacentral:lncRNA from 1 species
AAACAGCUCUGCUGUGGGGCCCUGAGCCAUUGCAGGAUCCCCAUAGGCCAUGCAGAGGUGCACACAGCACCUGACCUAAGCCUGCUCCUCCCAGAACAUCAGGCUGCACCCAGGCCACCGCUCACUCCGUCUGUCUCCCGAGACUGUUCCUCACUUCCUGCCUCACUGGCCCUGGUGAGGGUGAGGCUCCCUGCCCCCGGCCCUCAAAACAGAGCUGCAGAUGAGGACGCCACCCAGCUGCAGUGUCAAGGGGCUCCUCCACAGUGGGUGUCCCGCAACGCAUGCUCUCUGACCCC